UUAAUUUGCUUUUUGUUUAAUUAUAUUUGCUAAAAGGUGAAAUAUAUUUGCUAAAAGGUGAAGUAUAUUUGUGAAAAGGUUAAAUCAUUUGUGUUAAGUUUAAAUAAAAGUGCGAAUGCUAUAUCUAUGAGCACGCGUUUUCCGGUCCUCAUAGAAUCUUUUGAAGAUUUCAACACCUACCCACGGACAAAAAAAAAAAAAAUAGAGUUCCCGCUCGUUGUUGUAUUUUCAUUCAUAAAAUCCGAGAAAAUAUAAUUGGCCCUGGAACUAGUUGUUGGUUGUUCGUCCAAAAUAUCUUCAGAUUCCGCAGCAGUAGCAGGAACUAUUGACUUUAUAAAAUCGACUUUUGUCCAGCUUUUCGACCAGAAUACUCCUACGUGCGCCGUUUCGAAGUCGAGGUCGGACUCACUACGGAGCCAAUUCGGACUCGUUUGCUUGAAAGGUUCAGCCCUAUUGUGAGUUUCACGUGAACAAGAUUUCACACGGAAAUCAUGAAUUUCAUUUUUCCCCUAUUGUAACUUAUGAGGUAUUCGACAGCUCUUCUCUCACUUAAAUUUUGGUGGCGAACAAGAAACUAGUUAAGCGGAAAGUGUAAAUUCCCUUCGGCUGAACUUCAUCAUAGCUUUGGAAAUUCCGGGCGAACAAAAAUAAUCCGGGAGGAAAACAUUCCACGUGCAACUCACAACAGGGCUGACUAUCUGUUCAUCGCUAAUGGCAGCAUCUAUACAGACGAGCUGUAGAGACCUAUCUGUAGUUUUAGCAUCCCUUCCAAGCUAGUGCGUGAGCCGGAUGACGAUAGAGAAUGCACGCUGCUCUGUCAGGGUCUAUAUUAUUGAUGAAUUUAUACCUCGUGAGAUAGUGUGGAAGCACUUUUAAAAAUAAAAUCAAACCAUUCGACGAUACCAACUAUUAAGCAUAGUUCUUUUAUAAACGAUUUUCUAUUUGUUUUUUUUUUUUUUUUUUACAAGAAAUAAAUUUAUAAAAUUAUUUCAUUCAUAC